UGAAAAAAAACUAGUCUGCCCCCCUAAAGAUUUUUUUAGUCUUUUUUUGUUUCUUGGUUAAAAAUUUAAUCAAGCCAGGUCGUCGAGCACCUGUCAAAAUUUGAAAAUGUAUGCACAGUCCGCAGCAAACCUCCGUGCCUCUUCCUUUGCCGAGGACCAGUCUCAUAUUAACUAGUUCUACUUACAAGGCUUUUGACUAUGGCUGAGUAUGAGUAGUGCCAGGUGCUUGUAGCUUAACCCUUGCAUAGUUGCAUGCAUAGGGGCUCAUUCAGUUAUCCAUCCUGUUGCAUGGAAACAAACUGUGGUUUGAUAUUUAACUUAAGAAAGGACUUUGAUAACCAAAUUAGGAGAUUCUAUAGCUAUGUUAUUUUAUGUGGAGCUUUUUCCUUUCUGUUACUUUUCAACUAAAUCUAAUAGCAUUUGCUUACUUCUAAUUUUCAAGGGAGAUGAAGCAUCAUUGCAAAAAGCGCUGCAUUUGGUGUACAACCUCAAUCAGGACUGUGUAGAUGUUCUGUUUUAUGCUUCUUGGUGCCAGUUCUCGAGGAACUUCAGACCAAGCUAUUCAACCCUGUCUUCCUUAUAUCCAUCUAUUCCUCAUUUUGCAAUAGAAGAAUCAGCCAUCAGACCAAGAAAUGAGUCGUCGUUGGAUGUACGGUGACCAUACUACGGUGGAAUACUUGAGUGGGGUUGAGGAGUUCCUUAGAUGUGCUUUAGCACACCAACGGAAUACGAAAGCCGCAAAGAUCUAUUGUCCUUGCCGUGAUUGUAACAAUGUAAGGCGGUUAGCUGAUAUUGAUGAAAUUGAGGAUCAUUUAUUUCGUCGUGGGUUUAAGCAAGAUUACCAUGUCUGGUUUUGGCAUGGCUUACACUCCAAGAAAUGCGCCUUAUACCGAUGAGGAAAUAGAUGUGGUUCGUGAGCAAUGGGCUAAGUUUUUUACAACCGAGUAUUUAUUUACUUAGGUUGUUUAGACACAAAGAUGGAAGC